rnacentral:rRNA from 1 species
AUUGAACGCUGGCGGCAUGCCUUACACAUGCAAGUCGAACGGCAGCACGUCCUUCGGGAUGGUGGCGAGUGGCGAACGGGUGAGUAAUGCAUCGGAACGUGCCCUGAAGUGGGGGAUAACGUAGCGAAAGUUACGCUAAUACCGCAUAUUCUGUGAGCAGGAAAGCGGGGGAUCGCAAGACCUUGUGCUUUAGGAGCGGCCGAUGUCGGAUUAGCUAGUUGGUGAGGUAAAGGCUCACCAAGGCGACGAUCCGUAGCGGGUCUGAGAGGAUGAUCCGCCACACUGGGACUGAGACACGGCCCAGACUCCUACGGGAGGCAGCAGUGGGGAAUUUUGGACAAUGGGCGCAAGCCUGAUCCAGCCAUGCCGCGUGAGUGAAGAAGGCCUUCGGGUUGUAAAGCUCUUUCGGUGGGGAAGAAAUUGCUUCGGAUAAUACCCGGAGUAGAUGACGGUACCCGCAUAAGAAGCACCGGCUAACUACGUGCCAGCCGCCGCCGUAA